rnacentral:rRNA from 1 species
CAGCAGCCACGGGAAUACAGAGGGUGCGAGCGUUAAUCGGAUUUACUGGGCGUAAAGCGUGCGUAGGCGGCUUCUUAAGUCGGAUGUGAAAUCCCUGAGCUUAACUUAGGAAUUGCAUUCGAUACUGGGAAGCUAGAGUAUGGGAGAGGAUGGUAGAAUUCCAGGUGUAGCGGUGAAAUGCGUAGAGAUCUGGAGGAAUACCGAUGGCGAAGGCAGCCAUCUGGCCUAAUACUGACGCUGAGGUACGAAAGCAUGGGGAGCAAACAGGAUUAGAUACCCGGGUAGUCCCUGUCUCUUAUAU